CGACUCACACCCCUGCCAUGUUACUCUGGCUAUCAUCCUGGCUAACAACGGUAGCUAUCUUUUGCUAUCUAAGAACUAAGAAUCUAAGAACUGAACACUAAAUACAAACGGAAUAACCGAAACAGUUCUGAAAGGCGAUACAAACACUAAAGAGAACUACCCACAAAACUCAGGUGGGAAAGGCUACCUAAGUAUGACUCUCAAUCAGAGACAACGAUAGACAGCUGCCUCUGAUUGAGAACCACACCCGGCCAAACAAGAAAAACAAAACAUAGAAAACGAACAUAGAAUGCCCACCCAAGUCACACCCUGGCCUAACCAAAAUAGAGAAUAAAAGCCUCUCUAUGGCCAGGGUGUGACAAUCGGAAUCUAUUUCAACAAAGCAAAGCAUUAUGCUUACAGCAGACAGUCAGCCCACCUUGAUGGCAUGUUGAAGUGUAUUUGGAAAUGUUUGCUUUUUUCUUAAACCAGAUUGACAUCGACCAAAAAUACAACCUUCUUCUGACAUGAAGAUGAACACACUACGACCUCUGACUUUAGGUAAAGUCACAGGUACACCAGCAGGACAUGCUGGUUUGGAUGAGGAAGUGCUUAGGGCAGGAUCCAAGGGUUUCAUUGGCUGCCUGUCGUCUGGCCAGUUCAAUCAUUUGACACAGCUGAAGACAGCCAUUCUGAGUCGUGGAAGCUCAUUGGUCCAUGUUCUUGGCAAUCUAGUUGAAUCGAACUGUGGAGCCUUGGCUGAUAGUACAACUUCACAAUCAGCAUCUGCUCUCAUGAGUCCUGCUCCCAGAGAUCAACCAAGUGCUAUUCACCAAGCAUGGGCUGAUUCACGGACCUGUGAGGAGAACCAUCCUACUGCAGUUUGAACUCGCCCUGCUGUCUCUAUUUAGACAUUGGGACCACAUAUGCCUGUUGUCUUUUCUUUGUGGAUUUUGUCUUGGGCAUUUUAGAGUUGAAGAACACCCACCACAGAUACAUGUGCUUGUCCUGCCGUCAGUCACUAUUUAGACAUUGAGACCACAUGUGUAUUUUCCUGUUGUCUUUUCUUUGUGGGUUGUCUUACACAGUCCAAGUACAUUUUGGAGUUGAAGAACACCGACGACAGAUGCACCUGGUUGUUUGAACAUUUCAAAUUCAAUGUAGAAUCAGUUUAACACAUGACAAAACAGACCAUUUUACUAUUGUAACAUGCAAUGGGGAGAAUUAUAUUGUUGUCGUCAGCAGCCCAGGCUUUUGCCAUAGAUGGUAGAGCUCUCGUCUCUAGACCACACAAGUUUUAGAUUGCAUUCUGCUAAGGUACUUGUCUCUCUCUACAUCGGUUAUCUACAUUAGUGACCAGGGUGGGGUCUUUGAUACGCCUAUGGGGCCUGGGCACACAAAUGCUCUUAGAGAGAAGGGGUAAUACCGAAUCAUGCAUUGACGACAGUUCAAGUCUCUAGCAGAGGCUCGGGCUUCUGGCAUAGAUGGUAAAGCGCUCAUGUAUGGACUGCAACAUUGUAAGAUUGUUCCCUCCACGGUACUUAAUAUAGACUACAUUGAUUGGUAGGUUACACUAUAUUUAGAUACUUCAAAUACUCCCUAAGCCACCUUCGCUACUUGUCUCCAUAGUCAAUAAAUGGUGAAAAACGA